rnacentral:rRNA from 1 species
CCACGCCGUAAACGAUGAACACUAGGUGUGGGCGGAGUCGAAUCUGUCUGUGCCGCAGCCAACGCGAUAAGUGUUCCGCCUGGGGAGUACGGCCGCAAGGCUAAAACUCAAAAGAAUUGACGGGGGCCCGCACAAGCAGCGGAGCAUGUUCUUUAAUUCGAUGCAACGCGAAGAACCUUACCUGGACUUGACAUGGUGCUGCAAGCGCACGGAAACGUGUGACCUUCGAGGGUGCACCACAGAUGCUGCAUGGCUGU